GAUGAACGCUGGCGGCGUGCUUAACACAUGCAAGUCGAACGCGAGGGUGCAGCGAUGUGCCUGAAAGUGGCGAACGGGUGAGUAACACGUAGAUGACCUGCCCUGGAGUGGGGGAUAACCAUUGGAAACGGUGGCUAAUACCGCAUACAUCCGGAGAACUGGGAAGUUUUCUGGGGAAAGCUCUGGUGCUUCAGGAGGGGUCUGCGUCCGAUUAGCUAGUUGGUGGGGUAAAGGCUCACCAAGGCGACGAUCGGUAGCUGGUCUGAGAGGACGAUCAGCCACACGGGAACUGAGACACGGUCCCGACUCCUACGGGGGGCAGCAGUGAGGAAUAUUGGGCAAUGGGCGGAAGCCUGACCCAGCAACGCCGCGUGGAGGAAGACGGCCUUCGGGUUGUAAACUCCUUUGACGGGAAGAGAGAGGACGGUACCCGUCGAAUAAGUCACGGCUAACUACGUGCCAGCAGCCGCGGUAA
rnacentral:rRNA from 1 species